UACGUAGGGGGCAAGCGUUGUCCGGAAUCAUUGGGCGUAAAGAGCGCGUAGGCGGCUCGGUAAGUCCGCUGUGAAAGUCCAGGGCUCAACCCUGGAAUGCCGGUGGAAACUGUCGAGCUAGAGUCCGGAAGAGGCGAGUGGAAUUCCUGGUGUAGCGGUGAAAUGCGCAGAUAUCAGGAGGAACACCAAUGGCGAAGGCAGCUCUCUGGGCCGUAACUGACGCUGAGGAGCGAAAGCGUGGGGAGCGAACAGG
rnacentral:rRNA from 1 species